rnacentral:sRNA from 1 species
GCUGAGUGUGGUGAUGCACACCUGUAAUUCCAGUCACUCGGAAGGCUGAGACAAGAGGUUUGCAUGUUCUAGACCAGCCUCAGCAAUUUAGUGAGGUCCUAAGCAAUUUUGCAAGGCCCUGUCUCAA